UGCCAAGACCCAGGUUCGUGUUCUCACAGUGCUGCCAUCUUUCCUCCGUGUGAGCGUGUGCUCUGCGGAGAGUGGACCUCGGUGUGUGCGGGGCUGCGUGCACUGCCAUCGGCUCCCUCUAGCAAGAAUGCUUCUUGUUUGCUGAGAGGUCCACAGAUUUACCCGGCUCAAGACUGGGAGAUGGGAGGUGACCAGGUCAUGAUCCUUUGUAGACUGAGGGAUAAAAGAAGAGGGCAAGGCCUCCCCUCUCCUCAGCGUUGAGUGCAAGGACCCUCAAGGCAACUCUUGGCAAAGCCCCGUGUUCCCACUGGCGAGUGGGUGCCUCCCUCUCUGGGGACGGCCAAUCCCUGUAAGGGAGGCAGUGGUCCCGGUCCAGGAAGGUGAGGGAGGCUUUCUCAGCGUCUUCACUCCGCCAGCUCACGUGGAGACUGGUAGCAGCUGGACCCCAAGCUCUCCUGGGGAGUCUGUUUACUCAAGGUCACCCUUGAUCCAGCGGAGCCCAAGGUCUAGGUCAAGCUUCCUCUGGGAUGUCCCCAAGGCUCCUCAAACAGGUGUCGUCAAGCCAUCUGCCCAAGGGCCCGUCAGCACCUGGCAGGUGUUAGCCAGGCUGAUCUGCAGGCGGGGCUGCCCCGAGUGGGGCUCCCACUGCCCAGAUUGGGACUGGAGCAGCCAAGUGGCUGAGCAACAAGGUGCUUCGUGUGUGGUCCCUGUGAGCCCCCCUGAAUAGUCUCAUGGACAGACGGAUGGACAGGAGGCUCAGUGGGCUCUGGGAGCAAGGGGAGCGCUUGCCGCUCUCCACGUGGCUCCAUUCCAGGACCAGGACAAUGAUGUCUUCCUGUCUGCAGCCAGAAGCAGGGCAGCUGACAGCGGCCCAGCCCUCCUGAGGGACAGGUGUCCCCUCCCAGAAACCUCCCUUCCACC
rnacentral:lncRNA from 1 species